rnacentral:lncRNA from 1 species
CGUGUCUUUGUAAAGCCUCUGGUGCUCUUCUGUCCCCCAGAGCACUAUGAAGCCCUGGUAUCCCCCAUCCUCGGACCUCUUUUCACCUACCUCCAUAUAGGCUUUCUCAGAAAUGGCAAGUUAUCAACCAAAGGAGCCUGCUGUUGGAGAAGAUGAGGCUGCAGAUGAAAACCCAGAGUCUCAAGAGAUGCUGGAGGAGCAACUGGUGAGGAUGUUAACCCGAGAAGUCAUGGACCUAAUCCGGUUUGCUGUGUUUCAAAGAAGGGUGCUGACCACAGUAGUGCUCCCCCAGCAGAUGGAGACAUGAAGAAAUGAUGGCCACAGAGGUCACCCCCUCAGCUAUGGCAGAGCUUACAGACCUGGGCAAAUGUCUGAUGAAGCAUGAGAUGUUUGUACAGCGCUAUUAAUUACAGCCUUCAAUUCCCUGGCCUGGAAAGAUACUCUGUCCUGCCAGAGGACAACCUCACAGCUCUGCUGGCCUCUCCUCAAACAGUGCUGUCAGGGACACUGCUCGCAGAUGCAGUUACGUGGCUUUUCACCAGUGUGCUGAAAGGCUUACAGAUGCACGGGCAGCACGACGGGUGCAUGGCUUCCCUGGUCCAUCUGGCCUUCCAGAUAUACGAGGCACUCGCCCCAGGUACCUGGAGAUAAGAGCUGUAAUGGAGCAAAUCCCUGAAAUACAGAAGGACUCACUGGACCAGUUUGACUGCAAGCUUUUAAACCCCUCCCUGCAGAAAGUGGCUGACAAGCGCCGAAAGGACCAAUUCAAACGCCUCAUUGCUGGUUGCAUUGGAAACCCUUGGGAGAGCAGUUCCGAAAAGAAGUUCACAUUAAGAAUCUUCCCUCACUUUUCAAAAAAACAAAGCCAAUGCUGGAGACGGAGGUGCUGGACAAUGAUGGG